GUCACUGUGUCCCCGGUGUGCAGAGCCCGGUGAGAUGCCGCCACGCACCGUGGGCUCCUGAAGCCAUGGAGCAGCACAGACCCAAGGAGGAGGACGAGCAGGCUGAGGUGAUGCUGCCCGUUGCUUGCAGUGGGUGCUGCAGCUUGCCUGGAGGAAGCCCCCACAAUAACUCAGUGCGUAAACGUGGGAGGAUACAGGACAGGAGACCUGGAACGUCCGUGCCGUGAGAGACCGGCCGGUCCUCCUGCAGUCCUCUCACACCUGCAGGGUCAGAACAGGUGAACAGACUGAGACGGCUGUUGGUGUGCAGUCCCUGACAGGAGCAGCGGAAGAGCCUUAAGGAAGCGGGGCUCUCCCAGAAGAGAGAGGCACGCAAACACUGCUGCUGUAAAGCUCCUGGAGGGCCGUCCGCAGGCUGCGCUCCUCCUCGUCCUCGUCGUCGUCGUCCUCGUCCUCGUCGUCGUCCUGCUGCUGCUGCUGCUGCUCCUCCUCG
rnacentral:lncRNA from 1 species